rnacentral:lncRNA from 1 species
UCGGAUUCUCAUCACCCUAAUGUUGUUCACCAAAAUCAAUUAUUAAGUGACGUAUAAAAUACGACACACACAUCUUAGGUCCUCAAUACAUUUAUAUAUUUCAUGUCAUGCCAUAGUAAGGACUACUAAUGCUAUCAUCUGGACCAUCACUCCAUUCCCUGACUAGUCUCAACUAUAUUCUCAUUUCCUGAAGAGAACAGUGAAAGAAAGGGGUGAGCUCAACUAGCCCAGUAAGAAAU